CACAAAUGUAUAAACAAUGCUGACAAUUUUUGCUACAUUUGCAGACAGGCUACAUUGAAGGACAAUAAUGCCAUGGAUUAGGAAGGCAUUCAGAGUGUGCUUUGGCUGUGAAAUCAGGGACCAGGACAAGACCUAGACUCCUCAUGUACGAGGGACAGUGUGGAAGAGGUGAAGUGGAAGUAAGGUGUAAGCCAGUGUCAACAUGUCAGAAGCUAGUCAGAGGAUCCUCAUAAAUGAAUUAACAUGUUGAGGGCGUGAUCGAAUCAUCUUGUGUAAAUGUGAAAUUGUGAAGAGUGACCAUGGAUGAAGGUCCUGCAAGGUCAUCAAAGCCACAGUGUGAAUGAAGAGGAAUGAAAAAUUCUUAGCAACUGAAGAUGAGCUAAC